GAGGAGGACCGACAGAUGAACGGAUGACCUGCUUGCUGGGCUUCCCAUUACUGACUAUCAGAAAAAUGAGGACCACUGACUUAUGAGGGAGUUGCUCUACUGAGGCUCCAACAGCCUCAUCAAACAGAAACUCGA